UAUACAAGCAUUUUCCAUGUA
ensembl:piRNA 21ur-7204 ncRNA